rnacentral:rRNA from 1 species
ACAAGUGCUAAUACCGCAUAAGACCACGGACCGGCAUCGGUCAGAGGUCAAAGGAGAAAUCCGCUUUGGGAGGGGUUCGCGUCCCAUUAGGUAGUUGGUGAGGUAACGGCCCACCAAGCCGACGAUGGGUAGCCGAGCUGAGAGGCUGAUCGGCCACACUGGAACUGAGACACGGUCCAGACUCCUACGGGAGGCAGCAGUGGGGAAUAUUGGGCAAUGGGCGCAAGCCUGACCCAGCAACGCCGCGUGAGGGAAGAAGGUUUUCGGAUUGUAAACCUCUGUCGCAGGGGACGAAGGAAGUGACGGUACCCUGUAAGAAAGCCCCGGCUAACUACGUGCCAGCAGCCGCGGUAAUACGUAGGGGGCGAGCGUUGUCCGGAAUUACUGGGCGUAAAGGGAGCGUAGGCGGUCGAUUAAGUUAGAUGUGAAACCCCCGGGCUUAACUUGGGGACUGCAUCUAAUACUGGUUGACUUAGAGUACAGGAGAGGG